rnacentral:rRNA from 2 species
AACGAACGCUGGCGGCAGGCUUAACACAUGCAAGUCGAGCGCCCCGCAAGGGGAGCGGCAGACGGGUGAGUAACGCGUGGGAAUCGACCCAUCUCUACGGAAUAACGCAUGGAAACGUGUGCUAAUACCGUAUACGUCCUUCGGGAGAAAGAUUUAUCGGAGAUGGAUGAGCCCGCGUUGGAUUAGCUAGUUGGUGGGGUAAAGGCCUACCAAGGCGACGAUCCAUAGCUGGUCUGAGAGGAUGAUCAGCCACACUGGGACUGAGACACGGCCCAGACUCCUACGGGAGGCAGCAGUGGGGAAUAUUGCACAAUGGGCGGAAGCCUGAUGCAGCAACGCCGCGUGCGGGAUGACGGCCUUCGGGUUGUAAACCGCUUUCGCCUGUGACGAAGCGUGAGUGACGGUAAUGGGUAAAGAAGCACCGGCUAACUACGUGCCAGCCGCCGCGGUAA